rnacentral:rRNA from 1 species
CUACGGGCCGCAGCAGCAAGGAAUAUUGCGCAAUGGGCGAAAGCCUGACGCAGCGACGCCGCGUGGGGGAUGAAGGCCUUCGGGUUGUAAACCCCUUUUCUCAGGGAAGAAUAAUGACGGUACCUGAGGAAUAAGUCUCGGCUAACUACGUGCCAGCAGCCGCGGUAAUACGUAGGAGGCGAGCGUUAUCCGGAUUUACUGGGCGUAAAGCGGGUGUAGGCGGCUCUUCAAGUCGGAUGUGAAAUCUCUCGGCUUAACUGGGAGGGGUCAUUCGAUACUGCUGGGCUUGAGUGCAGCAGAGGAAAGCGGAAUUCCCGGUGUAGUGGUGAAAUGCGUAGAUAUCGGGAGGAACACCAGUGGCGAAGGCGGCUUUCUGGGCUGUAACUGACGCUGAGACCCAUAAGCGUGGGGAGCAAACAGGAUUAGAUACCCGAGUAGUC